rnacentral:rRNA from 1 species
CCGUGAACCUUUACUAUAGCUUGACACUGAACAUUGAGCCUUGAUGUGUAGGAUAGGUGGGAGGCUUUGAAGCGUGGACGCCAGUCUGCGUGGAGCCAACCUUGAAAUACCACCCUUUAAUGUUUGAUGUUCUAACGUUGGCCCCUUACCGGGGUUGCGGACAGUGUCUGGUGGGUAGUUUGACUGGGGCGGUCUCCUCCCAAAGCGUAACGGAGGAGCACGAAGGUUAGCUAAUCCUGGUCGGACAUCAGGAGGUUAGUGCAAUGGCAUAAGCUAGCUUGACUGCGAGCGUG